rnacentral:rRNA from 1 species
AACGAACGCUAUCGGUAUGCUUAACACAUGCAAGUCGGACGGACUAAUUAGGGCUUGCUCCAAUUAGUUAGUGGCAGACGGGUGAGUAACACGUGGGAAUCUGCCCAUCAGUACGGAAUAACUUUUAGAAAUAAAAGCUAAUACCGUAUAUUCUCUACAGAGGAAAGAUUUAUCGCUGAUGGAUGAGCCCGCGUCAGAUUAGGUAGUUGGUGAGGUAACGGCUCACCAAGCCGACGAUCUGUAGCUGGUCUGAGAGGAUGAUCAGCCACACUAGGACUGAGACACGGCCCAGACUCCUACGGGAGGCAGCAGUGGGGAAUAUUGGACAAUGGGCGAAAGCCUGAUCCAGCAAUACCGAGUGAGUGAUAAAGGCCCUAGGGUUGUAAAGCUCUUUUAGCAAGGAAGAUAAUGACGUUACUUGCAGAAAAAGCCCCGGCUAACUCCGUG